GACGACGCUGGCGGCGUGCCUAACACAUGCAAGUCGAGCGGAGAUACAUUGAAGAGCAAUCAGAUAUGUAUCUUAGCGGCGGACGGGUGAGUAACGCGUGGGCAACCUGCCUCAUACUGGGGGAUAACACAGGGAAACUUGUGCUAAUACCGCAUAAUAUCAUUAUAGGGCAUCCUGUGAUGAUCAAAGGAGCAAUCCGGUGUGAGAUGGGCCCGCGUCCAAUUAGCUAGUUGGUGAGGUAACGGCCCACCAAGGCGACGAUUGGUAGCCGAACUGAGAGGUUGAUCGGCCACAUUGGGACUGAGACACGGCCCAGACUCCUACGGGAGGCAGCAGUGGGGAAUAUUGCGCAAUGGGGGAAACCCUGACGCAGCAACGCCGCGUGAAGGAUGAAGGUCUUCGGAUUGUAAACUUCUUUGAUGAGGGACGAACACAAUGACGGUACCUCAAAAACAAGCCACGGCUAACUACGUG
rnacentral:rRNA from 1 species